rnacentral:lncRNA from 1 species
CAUACAUUGCCUAAGCCAUCAGUGUCAGUCACCAGGCUUGACAUGGUGACCAGAGAGCUUUAGCUGAAGCUUGGUGAGCAGGGCUCAAGAGCCAGCGAGGGUGUUGUCUUAAUCUGCUAGGGCUGCUGUGACAAGUGCUGUGUAUCAGGACAACAGCCGAGGGAGAGGCCAUUGUCACAGGUGGGCACCUCAGAGGCUGCAGCCCACGUAGGAUGGGCCACCUGUACACCACACCCGAGGAGAGUCGAGCAACCUUUUAGCAGCUGACAGGCCACAGCACAGUGCCACAAGCAGCACAAGCCCAGCAGCAGGCGGGGACUCAUCUCAGGUGGACCUCACUGCAUUACGUGUCCAG